AAAAAAUUAGUUAAAUAAAUAACAUUAGUUUGUCAAACUAAAAUUAUAAUUAAAUUAUAUUUUUUA
rnacentral:tRNA from 1 species